CCGACCGAGCCACCCAGGCGCCCCAAAACUUUACAUGUUUUAAAGAUUUGUUUUGUCCCCUCCGUGGAUUUACCACUGAGUGAAAUCAUGUGCUGUGUCCCUGAGAGCUUGCCUGGUGGCCCGUGGAUGAUGGAUCGGUGACUGCUGCUCUUCAGGAGGGGGGAGGGGAGCAGGGGAAGCCUGUUCUUAGAGCAUCAAGUCACGACUUUGACUACUAGAGACUUGCUGUUUCCCUAGGGCAGCUGUCCCCGAUGUAGAGGCAAGACAGAUUCCAUCUCACGACAACGAAGUUCUUUCUAAAGACAACAGGAAGCCCCGUUUCUCAGUUCUCUUCCAAAGUGACUCCAAUACACCUGCUGACCUCUUUUCUAAAAUUAGUUUCACGGAAGGCGUGAUUGAUUUCAAGCACUUUAUAGAUUUAAUUUAACGUUCAUUCCCUCUUGUCUUAUUGCCCAGCUUGAGUAGAGAUGAUCAUCCGGAUGAUUAGAGAAAGAAAGCAAGGCCCUGACGGCUACUUUGGGGGCCGAAUGCAGAACUCUCUUCUCCCUGAGUUGGAAGCUGGGCCCCACAGAGACGUGCCAUUCUUGAACGAAACGUUUAUUUGAUUCAACCCGAAGUCAAUAACAUCAGUGAAGCAUAAUUUCAGGACUGUGGGUCUUUUCUCUGAUUUGUACUUGAGAAAGUUGCACUGCCCAGGGGGUAGUUCUGUUCCUACGAUCCGUAUCCUGGUGAAUCGGUAAAAUAAAGGCCUGCUACCUCCCACCAGGGGGAAUCCAAACCCUCCUGAGGUGGUAGGUGUGCCGCAAACUCUAACUCAAGCCUGUAACCUUCUGAAAUUCCUUUCCGUUCUUAGAGAUGGCACUUAAUCAUUUUCUCUAAUUUUUCGUUCUCACUUGUCCACACCAGGGCAGGCCACACUGAUAUGGCUCAUACCACUUAUUUGGUGUGCACUGAGCAUCUAACGAUACCACAGGCCCGUUCUGGGAGGGGUGCGUAAUGAGAUUUCAUCUACUGUUUCUUUCCUUUGAGACUGGCUGGUCUGGCUAUUGACAUACUGUGGUAACUAGUCACUAAAACACUUCCUGUAUCCCGUUAUACUCGUAAGUUAAAGAAAACUGAAUGGUAGACAGAUCUCAGCCUUUAAGGCCAAAGAAAUGAAUGGAAAUAAUUCUCUUUGUUGUCUGUCAUCUAAGAAGAAGCAGGUUUACUUCGCGUGAACUCACUGAGAAAGACUCAUACUGUUGUUAUUGUAGGUCUUGGUCUGUGCUUCCUCUUAUUCACCGUGCAGUUCAGGAACAAAAACUUGGAUACAUGAUGCGAUGAUUAAAUAACACUGAGGAUGACGGUUUGGUUACUUUUAUAAAACAAUCUGGCAAAGACGAUGAAUGAGGGUUCGCACUUGAGGCCUCUUUUCACAGUGGACACCAGGGGGCGACACUUACGCAGGCAUAUCUCAGAGAUCAUGUGGGUUUGGUUCCAGACCCCUGCAGUAAAGUGAAUAGGGCAGUAAAGCAAGUCGAAUGAAUAUUUUGGUCUCCAGUGCAUGUAAAAGUUAUGCUUACACUAAACUGUAGUCUAUUAAGAACACAAUAGCAUUGUGUAUUUAAAAAAAAAAAAACAAAAUGUAUAUACCUUAUGUAAAAAAAAAAAA